rnacentral:rRNA from 1 species
CAUAGACAGUCAGGAGGUUGGCUUAGAAGCAGCCAUCCUUUAAAGAAAGCGUAAUAGCUCACUGAUCGAGUCGUCCUGCGCGGAAGAUGUAACGGGGCUAAGCCAGUUACCGAAGCUGCGGGUGUGUCCGUCCUCUUAAACGCGUUCUAGCUUGGCGUGCGAUAGCACGCAAAGCGCGCCAUCACUUCGAGUCGAGGUGGUGACUGAAAUAAGCAGUGCGUUUAAGUGGACGGACACGCGGUAGGAGAGCGUUCUGUAAGCCUGCGAAGGUGUCUCGAGAGGGAUGCUGGAGGUAUCAGAAGUGCGAAUGCUGACAUGAGUAGCGAUAAAGGGGGUGAAAAGCCCCCUCGCCGUAAGUCC